CUUUAACAAUCCGGAACAAGCUGAAAAUUGAAACAGACAUGCUGCUGCAUUUCUCCGUAAUCAGGAAUGCGCGGUGUGUCAGAGUCUCUCAAACUCGCAGCACGAAGACUUCUUCGG
rfam:Cronobacter sakazakii ATCC BAA-894, complete genome.